UAAGAAAGAAAGAAGAAAGAAAAAGGUCUAUUAAUUUCACUCUCUACUUUGUGCGUCUGCAGCUUUGUCUUCUUCCAUUGCUCUGCAACCGACAGAGUAAAAGAGGGAGGAGGAGGAGGAGUAGGAGUAGGAGGUGGAGAGACAUAAUCCUACUGCAGACCGGGCUGCCGGUGGACUCCUCUCUCUGCCCUUUGUUUUGAGGUCCGAUUCUUCUUCAAUGCUUACCUCUACAAACUUAUCUUCUUCUUCUUCUUCUUCUUCUUCUUCUUCCACUUCUUCUUCCACUUCUUUUUUUUUUUGCCUUUUUAUCCUCUCUCUGCUUGCUUUGUUCCCACGGCAUACUUUUUCGCUUUGAUACGCUCUCCUAGGGAGGAAAAAGAUCGAUUCCAUUUCGUUUAGGGCUUAAUAUUUGUUGUUGUGUUUUUUCUUUCUCCAUGUAUUGAUUUCUCGAGAGUUCUGGAGGACUUUAAAGGAACCCUAGCGUUCCUUCGAACGUGUUUUUUCUCCAUUUUGGUUGAUCGAUUUGGUUUCAAGUGGAAGAGGAAGAAGAAAAAGAGAAAAGGGGGUUAUAGUGUGAAUAUGAUUUGGUUGAUGAAAUUAUCGGGGCUUUUUUCCGCCGCAAUGGUGAUGAUUGUGCUUGCUCCGGCUUUACAAUCAUUUCCUCCCGCCGAAGCUAUUCGGUCCUCUCAUCUUGAUUUUUACCUUCGUUUGCCUGUUGAUACUGCCUCUUCAAGAUCGUUGAAUAGAUUCUCUUUCCGAAAGGCAUCUACAUUUCGCAAUGCUGGUCAAUGUGGAGGUGGUGACUCGAGACUUUCUGGGAAGUUUGGUGUGUGUGAUCCGAAUUUGGUACAUGUUGCUAUUACACUUGAUGUGGAGUACCUUCGUGGGUCAGUUGCGGCUGUCAAUUCGAUUCUUCGAAACUCGCUAUGUCCAGAGAGUGUUUUCUUUCAUUUCCUUGUUUCGGAUACCAGUCUCGAGGACUUCGUUCGAUCUACCUUCCCUCAGUUGAAUUUCAAAGUGUACUACUUUGAUCCGGAGACUGUUAGGAAUCUGAUCUCUACUUCGGUGAGGCAAGCACUGGAGCAGCCGCUUAAUUAUGCUAGAAAUUACUUGGCUGGGUUGCUCGAGUCUUGUGUGAAGAAGGUAAUUUACCUGGAUUCUGAUCUUAUUCUGGUGGAUGAUAUCCGAAAGCUAUGGACGACGAAUUUGGGUGAGUGGACAAUCGGGGCUCCUGAGUACUGCCAUGCCAAUUUCAGCAAGUAUUUCACAGCACGUUUCUGGUCUGAUGAGAGAUUUUUCGGCACAUUUGCUGGAAGAAAGCCCUGUUACUUCAACACCGGCGUUAUGGUCAUAGACUUGGUUAAAUGGAGGAAUGGUGGGUAUACGGAGAAGAUUGAAUGGUGGAUGAAGCUUCAGAAGAGUAAUCGCAUCUAUGAACUUGGGUCACUUCCCCCGUUCUUAUUGGUUUUCGCCGGUAACGUGGCGACCAUCGAGCACCGGUGGAACCAGCAUGGUUUAGGAGGUGAUAACGUCAGAGGCAGUUGUCGUGACCUCCACCCGGGUCCGACUAGCCUCUUGCACUGGUCCGGCAGUGGGAAGCCAUGGUUGAGGUUGGACUCCAAACAACCAUGUCCACUGGACGCUCUAUGGUCACCAUACGACUUGUACGGAAACUCCGGCUGAUAUUUCAGAUCAUAUAUGAGGUCGCCGGCUUGGUCUAAAUGAAGAGGAACAUUUGAUUAGAACCUAAUUGUCUCCCAAUGGGAUGGAAGCAUAUUUGGAUCCACGAUUUAAAGGAAUCUCUCUAACUUGUGGAGGAUAUGGAGAAAUAACUAUAAAAGCUUGGUAAAGAACAGGCCCACUAAUGAAAAUUCAGAAGAAAGAGAUCAAAUGGGUAAUUACAAGUUAUUUGAUUAAUGAACGAUCAUAAAGACAAGUGUAAUCGACCUCUUAGGGAGUAUUUGGGGGCAAGCAAUGGAGUUGUGGAUGCCUCCUACAGCCAUUAGUGCAAGAAAUCAAUAGUUUAUAAAAUUGACUUUUUGUAGUUGUGGCCUGUGGGGCUCGUGGACUUCUUAUGCCAAAUAAAGAGUGGAGUUUACAACUCUACACUUUUCAACUUCUUACUCUCCAACUCCUUGGCCAAUUACACUAGUAGACAUCCAAAACAAGUUUCCAAUAAAACUCUUUAUCGUGAAAAGGAGGGUUUAGGAUGUUACGAGUCUGAAGAUGGUUGGAGCAAAAGAACACAUUAUUUCAGUCACAACAGAAUAAGAAAAUAUUGGGAGGAAGUUUUCCAAAUAAAGGACUUUUCUUCUUUAGGUGACUCCCUUCACCUGGGACAGGCAACAUGGUCAUAGACUCAUCAAUCGUAGAAAGGAGGUCAGCAUCUUCAACUCAGGACUUUGCCAUAAACUCUUCCUUUAUCAUGAAAAUGAGAUUACCACCCUUGGUUUCAAGCCAGAUCAAACUCGAAAGUCUUGCGGUCUUAUUCAACUCGUAUGUUAGUUCUAACUCGAAAGGCCUGAAGUUGAAGUCCUGAACUCCUGACUUCCCAUUUGUUCUAUUGAAAAAAUGAACUAAUACUUUCGGAGUCCUCUAAAUAUGGAAAAUGGUUUUAGAUAGGCUUUGAACUCAAGGAGCUCUGCCAUGAACACAAGGGGUAAAAGCCUACUAUUGCCUUUUACUCGAGCUUGAACUCAUUUUACGGUUAGACUAACAAAAAAAAAAAAAAAAAAAAAAAAAAGAUGUGGCAAUUAAUUUGCUAUUGGAUUAUAAUGAUAUGACAAUUUUAGAUCAAGUGGCAACAUAUAUUAAAUUAAAAGAAGUUAACAUGGUUGGCAUGUC